rnacentral:lncRNA from 1 species
CAAGUAGACACAAGAAAAAGUACAAAUGAGUUCUUUAUUCUUCAUUAGAGCACUCUAAAGAUAGCAUCAAGGACUGCAUGGAAAUSCCCUGGAUACUUUUCAUAAUCUUUUCUGGUGAAUCUCAGGAUAUCAAAUAUGAGAGGCAAGGGAGAAGCUGCGGAGGAGCCCUGGGAAGGCCUCAGGAAUGACAGACCCUGCAGUGAGCUGCAUUUGUAUCCUCGGUCCGUGGCAGGUCAAAGGUCUGCAGCGGGCAGAGGCUCCCCCAGCUAGAAAGCUGCAACGAUGUAUUUUCUCCGAAUUCACAUGAGCCCUGGUCCUGUUACUAGAAACAACGGAUGGAACUCCUGGGACUUACUGACAAUCAACAAAACUGGACAAAGAGUUAAUAAAUAAAUCACCCUUCAGCA